rnacentral:rRNA from 1 species
AGUGAACGCUGGCGGUAGGCCUAACACAUGCAAGUCGAACGGCAGCACAGUAAGGGCUUGCUCUUACGGGUGGCGAGUGGCGGACGGGUGAGGAAUACAUCGGAAUCUACUUUUUCGUGGGGGAUAACGUAGGGAAACUUACGCUAAUACCGCAUACGACCUACGGGUGAAAGCAGGGGAUCUUCGGACCUUGCGCGAUUGAAUGAGCCGAUGUCGGAUUAGCUAGUUGGCGGGGUAAAGGCCCACCAAGGCGACGAUCCGUAGCUGGUCUGAGAGGAUGAUCAGCCACACUGGAGCUGAGACACGGUCCAGAAUCCUACGGGAGGCAGCAGUGGGGAAUAUUGGACAGUGGGCGCAAGCCUGAUCCAGCCAUACCGCGUGGGUGAAGAAGGCCUUCGGGUUGUAAAGCCCUUUUGUUGGGAAAGAAAAGCAGCAGGUUAAUACCCCGCUGUUCGGACGGUACCCAAAGAAUAAGCACCGGCUAACUGCGU